rnacentral:rRNA from 1 species
ACGGGAGGCAGCAGUGGGGAAUAUUGGGCAAUGGGGGAAACCCUGACCCAGCAACGCCGCGUGGAGGAAGAAGGUCUUCGGAUCGUAAACUCCUGUCCUAAGGGACGAGAAGAAGACGGUACCUUAGGAGGAAGCCCCGGCUAACUACGUGCCAGCAGCCGCGGUAAUACGUAGGGGGCGAGCGUUGUCCGGAAUGAUUGGGCGUAAAGGGCGCGUAGGCGGCCCGGUAAGUCUGAAGUGAAAGUCCUGCUUUUAAGGUGGGAAUUGCUUUGGAUACUGAUGGGCUCGAGUGCAGGAGAGGAAAGCGGAAUUACCGGUGUAGCGGUGAAAUGCGUAGAGAUCGGUAGGAACACCAGUGGCGAAGGCGGCUUUCUGGACUGAAACUGACGCUGAGGCGCGAAAGCGUGGGGAGCAAACAGGAUUAGAUACCCUGGUA